GACAGAGGAUGCAAGCGUUAUCCGGAAUGAUUGGGCGUAAGCGUCUGUAGGUGGCUUUUAAGUCCGCCGUCAAAUCCCAGGGCUCAACCCUGGCAGGCGGUGGAAACUACCAAGCUGGAGUACGGUAGGGGCAGAGGGAAUUCCGGUGGAGCGGUGAAAUGCGUAGAGAUCGGAAGAACACCAACGGCGAAAGCACUCUGCUGGGCCGACACUGACACUGAGAGACGAAAGCUAGGGGAGCGAAUGGG
rnacentral:rRNA from 1 species